CCUACGGGAGGCAGCAGUGAGGAAUAUUGGUCAAUGGGCGCGAGCCUGAACCAGCCAAGUCGCGUGAGGGAUGACGGCCCUACGGGUUGUAAACCUCUUUUGCCGGGGAGCAACGGGCGCCACGUGUGGCGCCACUGAGAGGACCCGGAGAAAAAGCAGCGGCUAACUCCGUGCCAGCAGCCGCGGUAAUACGGAGGAUGCGAGCGUUAGCCGGAUUUAUUGGGUUGAAAGGGUGCGUAGGCGGAUCGUUAAGUCAGUGGUCAAAUUGAGGGGCUCACCCCCUUCCCGCCAUUGAAACUGGCGCUCUUGAGUUGACGUGAAGUAUGCGGACUGCGUGGUGUAGCGGUGACCUGCAUAGAUAUCACGCAGAACCCCGCUUGCGAAGGCAGCAUGCCGGCUUCCGCCUGCCGCUGACGCACGAAAGCGUGGGGAUCGAACAGGAUUAGAUACCCCUGUAGUC
rnacentral:rRNA from 1 species